UCCGGAUCUAUCCAAGAAUAUCUUACUCUGGAACUUGGUGUUCUUUUCAAUUCUUUCCCAGACAAAAGCUUUGCUCAUUUUAAUCAACCACCUUUACAGGCAAAGAUCACACUAUGGAUAUUUUACUGUUACAACAAUGAUCAAAGAUGCUGGGAGCACAAAAAAACCUAAAGACUGUUGGAGAACUUUGGUUCACUAAUUUAAGGAAGAAAUGCGCUACAAUGCCCACAGUUUAAUGGAGAGGGUGUUAUGGGCAAAUGCAAAUAUUACAAGUUUUAGAAUGAAAUGUUGUAUUUCUUAAACUGUGUACUUUGUCUUUAAGAGAUAUUGCAAACUGACAAGGUGUUAGAAAUGGAACAUAUUGUUUUUCAUAACUGUUUCUUUAAGCAAUAACCUC